rnacentral:rRNA from 1 species
UGAAACCGUGUACGUACAAGCAGUGGGAGCCUCUUAAUGGGGUGACUGCGUACCUUUUGUAUAAUGGGUCAGCGACUUAUAUUCUGUAGCAAGGUUAACCGAAUAGGGGAGCCGAAGGGAAACCGAGUCUUAACUGGGCGUUAAGUUGCAGGGUAUAGACCCGAAACCCGGUGAUCUAGCCAUGGGCAGGUUGAAGGUUGGGUAACACUAACUGGAGGACCGAACCGACUAAUGUUGAAAAAUUAGCGGAUGACUUGUGGCUGGGGGUGAAAGGCCAAUCAAACCGGGAGAUAGCUGGUUCUCCCCGAAAGCUAUUUAGGUAGCGCCUCGUGAAUUCAUCUCCGGGGGUAGAGCACUGUUUCGGCAAGGGGGUCAUCCCGACUUACCAACCCGAUGCAAACUGCGAAUACCGGAGAAUGUUAUCACGGGAGACACACGGCGGGUGCUAACGUCCGUCGUGAAGAGGGAAACAACCCAGACCGCCAGCUAAGGUCCCAAAGUCAUGGUUAAGUGGGAAACGAUGUGGGAAGGCCCAGACAGCCAGGAUGUUGGCUUAGAAGCAGCCAUCAUUUAAAGAAAGCGUAAUAGCUCACUGGUCGAGUCGGCCUGCGCGGAAGAUGUAACGGGGCUAAACCAUGCACCGAAGCUGCGGCAGCGACGCUUAUGCGUUGUUGGGUAGGGGAGCGUUCUGUAAGCCUGUGAAGGUGUGCUGUGAGGCAUGCUGGAGGUAUCAGAAGUGCGAAUGCU